rnacentral:rRNA from 1 species
GACGAACGCUGGCGGCGCGCCUAACACAUGCAAGUCGAGCGAGAACCAGGGCUUCGGCCCUGGGGACAGCGGCGAACGGGUGAGUAACACGUGGAUAACCUGCCCUCGGCACCGGAAUAGCCCGAGGAAACUCGGAUUAAUGCCGGAUAGCCCCACAUCCCUGCGGGGAACGUGGGAAAAGGUAGCUUCGGCCUCUGGCCGGGGAUGGGUCCGCGGUGGAUUAGCUUGUUGGCGGGGUAACGGCCCACCAAGGCGACGAUCCAUAGCUGGUCUGAGAGGAUGAUCAGCCACACUGGGACUGAGACACGGCCCAGACUCCUACGGGAGGCAGCAGUGGGGAAUCUUGCGCAAUGGGCGAAAGCCUGACGCAGCGACGCCGCGUGCGGGAAGAAGGCCUUCGGGUUGUAAACCGCUUUCAGGAGGGACGAAGCCACUCGGGUGAAUAGCCCAGAGGGUGACGGUACCUCCAGAAGAAGCCCCGGCUAACUACGUGCCAGCCGCCGCCGUAACAC